rnacentral:piRNA from 1 species
CUGAGCCAGACAGAAGGAGAAAGC